AUUGAACGCUGGCGGCAUGCUUUACACAUGCAAGUCGAACGGCAGCGCGGGCUUCGGCCUGGCGGCGAGUGGCGAACGGGUGAGUAAUACAUCGGAACGUGCCCAGUAGUGGGGGAUAGCUCGGCGAAAGCCGGAUUAAUACCGCAUACGACCUGAGGGUGAAAGCGGGGGAUCUUCGGACCUCGCGCUAUUGGAGCGGCCGAUGGCCGAUUAGCUAGUUGGUGGGGUAACGGCCUACCAAGGCGACGAUCGUAAGCUGGUCUGAGAGGACGACCAGCCACACUGGGACUGAGACACGGCCCAGACUCCUACGGGAGGCAGCAGUGGGGAAUUUUGGACAAUGGGCGAAAGCCUGAUCCAGCAAUGCCGCGUGUGUGAUGAAGGCCUUCGGGUUGUAAAGCACUUUUGGCGGGAACGAAAAGGACUGUGCCAAUACCACGGUUCGAUGACGGUACCCGCAGAAUAAGCACCGGCUAACUACGUG
rnacentral:rRNA from 1 species